rnacentral:rRNA from 1 species
UACAUAGCUUAAUGAGGGGAACUCAGGGAACUGAAACAUCUAAGUACCUGAAGGAAGAGAAAGAAAUUCGAUUCCGUAAGUAGCGGCGAGCGAACGCGGAUUAGCCCAAACCAAUAAAGUUUUCUUUAUUGGGGUUGCGGACAUAUCAUAACGAAGAGGUAUCGUAAUUGAAGAGGUUUGGAAAGACCCACCACAGAAGGUAAUAGUCCUGUAUGUUAAACGAGAAGACUUUAGAUAUGAUCCAGAGUACCACGGGACACGUGAAACCCUGUGGGAAGCAGGAGGGACCACCCUCCAAGGCUAAAUACUACCUAGUGACCGAUAGCGUAUAGUACCGUGAGGGAAAGGUGAAAAGAACCCCGGGAGGGGAGUGAAAUAGAACCUGAAACCCUGCACUUACAAGCUGUGGAAGCACAUUUCUUGUGUGACCGCGUACUUUUUGUAGAACGGGCCAACGAGUUACGUUAAGUAGCAAGGUUAAGCACUUAAGGUGUGGAGCCGUAGCGAAAGCGAGUUUUAACUGAGCGUUCAGUUACUUGACGUAGACCCGAAACCGGGCGACCUACCCAGGAGCAGGAUGAAGCGAAAGUAAAAUUUCGUGGAGGUCCGAACCCACGAGCGUUGAAAAGCUCGGGGAUGACUUGUGGGUAGCGGUGAAAUUCCAAUCGAGCCCGGAGAUAGCUGGUUCUCCCCGAAAUAGCUUUAGGGCUAGCCUCAAGGUGAGAGAUACGGAGGUAGAGCACUGAAUGUCCUAGGGGGUAUUGCACCUACCGAAGACUAUCAAACUCCGAAUGCCGUCAUCUUAUACUUGGGAGUCAGACUGUGGGUGAUAAGAUUCAUAG